AGUGAACGCUGGCGGUAGGCCUAACACAUGCAAGUCGAACGGCAGCACAGUAAGAGCUUGCUCUUACGGGUGGCGAGUGGCGGACGGGUGAGGAAUACAUCGGAAUCUACUUUUUCGUGGGGGAUAACGUAGGGAAACUUACGCUAAUACCGCAUACGACCUACGGGUGAAAGCAGGGGAUCUUCGGAUCUUGCGCGAUUGAAUGAGCCGAUGUCGGAUUAGCUAGUUGGCGGGGUAAAGGCCCACCAAGGCGACGAUCCGUAGCUGGUCUGAGAGGAUGAUCAGCCACACUGGAACUGAGACACGGUCCAGACUCCUACGGGAGGCAGCAGUGGGGAAUAUUGGACAAUGGGCGCAAGCCUGAUCCAGCCAUACCGCGUGGGUGAAGAAGGCCUCGGGUUGUAAAGCCCUUUUGUUGGGAAAGAAAAGCAGCAGGUUAAUACCCCGCUGUUCUGACGGUACCCAAAGAAUAAGCACCGGCUAACUUCGUG
rnacentral:rRNA from 1 species